UACGAGGGGGGCAAGCGUUGUUCGGAAUUAUUGGGCGUAAAGGGUGCGUAGGCGGUGCGGUAAGUCUGUUGUGAAAUCUCCGGGCUCAACUCGGAGUCUGCAUCAGAAACUGCCGUGCUGGAGUGUGGGAGAGGUGAGUGGAAUUCCCGGUGUAGCGGUGAAAUGCGUAGAGAUCCGGAAGAACACCGGUGGCGAAGGCGGUCUGCUGGGCAGUUGCUGACACUGAGGCGCGACAGCAUGGGGAGCAAACAGG
rnacentral:rRNA from 1 species